ensembl:lncRNA
CAAACAGUUCAGCUGGGAAGGAAUAGUGGAGUGAAGUAGUUUGCAGUUCUCAAAUUAGCACAUUGUAGCCAGGUCUUAAAAAGCCCUCUCUUACUGGGGCAAAGACUCACAGCCCAGUACCUGCUUUAUGAAACCCUGCAGUCUGUCCUGGCAUGGCUCAGCACUGUGUGUCACCUGUUUUGUAUUAGGAGCGGGUCACGCUAACUGCCAGUUUCCUGAAGACUGUGUAGGGUCCUGCUGAGGCCUCUUGGAGAGGGAAAUACUCCGGCUGCACAGACACGUGGGGGAGCAGGGCAGAGGGGAAGGGACAGCAUGGAUUCAAACCUGGGCGUGUGGGGCUUUAUACCGUUUAUGCGUGUUAAAGGCCAUCACAGUCUUUUUAAUUUUCCCACCUUCUUGUUCAUGGCAGUAGUCCCACUGUUUAUUUUCAAACGUGGAGGGGGUUUUGUGUUCCAACAAACUCUUAAGAGAAUUACUUUCUCCAGGGCUGUAAUUGUUUGAAUGUAAUGCCAUUCUCUGUAUUCAUCCAAGAAGAUGCAGCCUUUUCAAAAAUCUCACCUUCAGUCAAUGAAACGGAGGACCCCAUACCACAAGGCCUGAUUCUGUUAGCUUCCAUGUAUCCAAAGCUACAGUGACUCAGCUGACUUCGAUGAAUGCCCUCUGGAACUGUGCUAGCUGGAAACCAGCCUCACUCCUGGUUGUUCUCUGCUGGGGAAAGCAGCUUGAAACGCCCAAUUGCAUCAGACUUCGGCUUCUGAAUCACAGGACUUGCAGUGGCAGAGCUUCUGCAUAUGUGGCACUUAAAAAUAAACAAGCCAGCUUCCAAACCAGUUUUCUUAUUAAAGAUGGUUAUGUUCAUUCUGAUAAUUGUGCGUUCUCUGGAGGCUGUCUGCAAAGUAGAAAAAUGUCGUUUAGAGAUGAGUGCGGUGAAAGGGGCUCUGAACUUGGACUUAAAAUCAUCACUGAGUUCCCAGUUCAGCCAUAGAGGGCCUUUAUCGCCUUCGAC